UUCUGGCUCAGGAUGAACGCUAGCGAUAGGCCUAACACAUGCAAGUCGAGGGGCAUCACAUGAAGUAGCAAUACGGAUGGUGGCGACCGGCGCACGGGUGAGUAACACGUAUGCAACCUGCCUUCGAACAAGGGGAUAACCCGUUGAAAGACGGACUAAUACCCUAUAACACAGGGGCCCCGCAUGGGGAUAUUUGUUAAAGAUUAAUCGGUUGAAGAUGGGCAUGCGUUCCAUUAGCUAGUUGGUGGGGUAAUGGCCCACCAAGGCAACGAUGGAUAGGGAACUGAGAGGUUUAUCCCCCACACUGGUACUGAGACACGGACCAGACUCCUACGGGAGGCAGCAGUGAGGAAUAUUGGUCAAUGGACGCAAGUCUGAACCAGCCACGUCGCGUGAAGGAAGACGGCCCUACGGGUUGUAAACUUCUUUUGCAAGGGAAUAAAGUGAGUCACGUGUGACUUUUUGCAAGUACCUUGCGAAUAAGGAUCGGCUAACUCCGUGCCAGCCGCCGC
rnacentral:rRNA from 1 species